rnacentral:ncRNA from 1 species
GUUCGUCUUCAGGGGCAGGGUGUAAUUCCCGACCGGUGGUGAUAGUCCACGAACUACUUGUUAAGUAGCUGAAUCGGUGAAAUUCCGAUACCGACAGUAUAGUCUGGAUAAAGAAGAUAGAG